CUCCAGGACCGAGGAAGCACACUGCAUGGAAUCCAACUGUGAAACUGCAUCCUCACCGAAACGAAUCUUGAAGCUGGAGUUCAUCCCAGCCAACUUCGGGCGAUAGACAGGGUACAUCCUGGACUGGUCACCAGCCUAUCGCAGGGCUAAACAAAACUUCAGAAACCUACAGGACCAAAUACCAUCGCUUUAGUUUUAAAAUUUUAGCGGCUACCAGAAAGAAAGAAAAAAGACAUUCCCAAAUUCCCAUUCCCAUUCCCAUUCCCAUUCCCAAAGCCAAAGAGAAGACCAGAAAAGGGAGAACGGAUAACUGGCAGGACCCGGCGGCCCGAUAUCUGUGAUCUGGCCGAUUGGCCUGCAUUUACCAUCGAGGCAUAACGCCGCCGCAACUCCUGUGCUUCGUAGAACAAAGCAGCGGACAACUGAGAAGAGGGGAACUACCAAGAAACCUCCCCAGCUAACAGGUUUAAAACUACAAAACAGGUUUGCUCCACUGUUGCAGGACCAUGGAUCCCCCUCUAAAUUUCUGGAUAACCCUCCACCACCACGCAGCAGGGCAUCUUUUUAAGACAAAUGGACUUUGCCUGAAUAAGAUGGGAGCAAAGCUUUUCAUUACCAACAUGUUUUACAUCAUGCGUCAUCCAUCUGUCCCCACUGCCAAGGACACGAG
ensembl:lncRNA